GUAAUGUCUAUCUAGAGAACCAUAGGAAGUAGCCCCAGGAAGUUCAGGUCCAUUGUAAUAUGCCCACCUGAGAAAAAAGGAGAGACACACCCUGGAUGAUGAAGCCCCUGCUCAAGUGUCUCCUUCCUGCCCAUUGGUCCCGCCUCCUUUCCUUUCCUAUGAAAACCCUUUGUACACCUGAUCCAGAAAGUGGUGCGCUCAGAGUAUAGCCUCUGCACCCAUCUUCUCAAGAUGCCAGAUCCUUAAUAAAACUGAUUUCUGCUGGGUUUGGGGGUGCACACCUGUAAUCCCAGCGGCUUGGGAGGCUGAGGCAGGAGGAUAGUGAGUUCAAAGCCAGCCUCAGCAAAAAGCAAGGCACUAAGCAACUCAGUGAGACCCUGUCUCUAAAUAAAAUACAAAAUAGGGCUGGGGAUGUGGCUCAGUGGUUGAGUGCCCCUGAGUUCAGUUCCCAGUCAACCGCCCUACCUCCAAAAAAAACAAAAAACACAAACCUGAUUUCCUUCCCACCAACUCACCUCUACCUCUACCAAGUAUUGGCUUUGGAGCAUCAAGGAGCCAGAGUUGGGACAAGUAAUACCCACCCUUCUUCCCUGAGCUGACCAUCUGAGUGACUGCAGAUCAAUCCCUCUCUUCUCUGAAGACCCUCAGGUGACAGGUAUCCUGCCCUAUGCCCAGAGGGGAGGGCUGUCCAAGAAGCAUACUGUGAAGAAUCUGAACCCUCCUGGCUAAGCUCCCAGCAGAUUUUUAGAUCCCACCCUUUGUCCUCCAAUCAUACUUAUGUUCUACCAUCAUAAAAAUACACACAUUUCUCAUUUUCUUUGGAUCUUCAUUUCUGAAGGCUCCCAUGUCAUGUAGAAAUAAAUUUCUAUGCUUUUCUCCUGUUAAUCCAUCUUUGGUUAUAAGCUGGUCAGUCAAGAGUUGGGUAAGGAAAAGAUAGUACUUUUUCUGCCUUAUAUUGGAAAAGGAAGUAUCUGGAAUACUGUCAGAACUGGUGCAAAUCCUGACCAGCCACUUUUAAGCCACAUGACCUUAGAUUAUAUAUUAUACUUCUCUGUGUGUGUGUGUGUGUGUGUGUGUUUUGGGGAUUGAACCCAGGCCCUUGCACAUGCUAAACAUACACUCAAGCACUGAGUUACACACCUGUAGACCUUACAGAUUAUUUAAUUACUUUAUCCCCAGUGUCUUUAUCUGUUGUGUUUGGAUAACAUCGCCUAUCUCAGCGUAAUGGGGUGAAUGGAGAAGUUCUUAAGUUAGAUGACAGCGUGGCACAUACCAUCUGACUCUUUUUCUUUUUCUCACUAAAUUCAAAUGAUACAAUAACCAUCUUGAAAACUCCCUGAGGGAAUUUUACCUGAAGGGAAUGGAUUUCACACUUCAAAGAUGCUUUGAAGAGCUCUGUACAUAACACACCUUCUUCUUUACCUUUUUUUUUUUUUUUUUUGCAUGGGGAUUGAAUCCUGGAAUGCUUAACCACUGAGCCACAUCCUUAGCCCUUUGUAUUUUAUUUAGAGACAGGGUCUCACUGAGUUGCUUAGGGCUUUGCUUAGUUGCUGAGGUUGGCUUUGAACUAUCAAUUCUUUUGUUUCAGUCUCCUGAGCCUCUGGGAUUAUAGGCAUGUGCCAUUCCUCCUGGCCCUUUCUAUUUUUAUUUAUUUAUUUAUUUUUUGGAAACUGAGUCUUAAAUUGCAGAGGGCUUCAUUAACUUUCUGAGGCUGGCCUCAAACUUGUGAUCCUCAUGUGUCAGCCUCCCAAGUUGCUGGGAUUAUAGGUGUGCACCACUGCACCCAGCAAAAGGCCUUUUCUUUCUUUCUUAUUUGUUCUUUUUUUUAGAUAUACAUGAAAGUAGAAUGCAUUUGGCAUAUUAUACAUACGUGGAGUAUAACUUAUUCUAAUUAGGAUCCCAUUCUUGAGGUUGUACGUGACGUGGAGUUACACUGGUUGAGUAUUCAUAUAUGAACACAGGAAAGUUAUGUCUGAUUCAUUGUCCUGUCUUUCCUAUUCCCAUCCCGCUCCCUGCCCUUCAUUCUCCUUUGUCUAAUCCAGUGAACUUCAAUGCCCCUCCCCCAUGCCUUUUCUUAAUGAUUGAUAUUAAAACUUCAUCUUCCUCUGGUCUCAACUCGUUCCUCCUCUCUUUACAGAGGCCUUCCUGGGGCACUCAUCUUGAGCGGACCACUCCCUUCCAUCCCAGUGUAACAGUGGCCGCUCCUUGGGGAAUUGUCCUUGGCAAAGUUACUUUACCUCUCCUCCCUAGGCCCUUCCACUAGGCUGUUUCCCUUCCCUAAUCCUCUUUCAAGGUUUAUAUCCCUUCCUUUUGCCCUUCAUUUUAAAUUCUAAAGGGAAGCCCUAACUAAAUGGUUGAUGUUAAUUGCUAUAUAAUCUUUCUUUAAAUUUACAGAACCUAGAACCAGUGGAGACCUUUGUUACACCACCUCCUUAGUCUUUAGUUCUGUGCUGCAACUAACAAAGCUGCGAGAUUUAAUUUCCAAAAAAGUAAUCUGUCUGCCUAAAGAACUAUAGGAACUAGCUGCAGGAGGUUAAGGUCCAUUUGGAUAUUCUGGCCAAGAAAAGAAGACACACACCUGGAUGAUGAAGCCCCUGUCCCAGCAUGCAGCCUUCCUUCCCUGCUUCUCCUUCCCCUCCCUGUAAAAGCUCCUUGCAUUGGGCGCCGUGGUGCGAGGCAGACAUCCCAGGGGAGGCUACAGCAGGAGGAUAACAAGUUUGAGACCAGCUUUGGCACCUUAGCAAGAUCCUGUCUCAAAAUAAAAAGAGCUGAGAAUGUAGCUCAGUGAUAGAGUGCUUACCCAGCAUGUGUGAGACCCUGAGGUUCAAAACACAUAAACAGGGGCUGGGAUGUGGCUCAAGCCGUAUUGCGCUCGCCUGGCGUGCGUGCGGCCUGGGUUCGAUCCUCAGCACCACAUACAAACAAAGAUGUUGUAUCCGCCGAAAACUAAUAAAUAAGUAUUAAAAAAUUAAAGAAAAAACAAACAAACAAAAAAAACACAUAAACAAACAAAAACCUUCACACCCUGAGCCCUCUAAGAUGGAGCAUUGAGGUUCAUAGCCCCUUUGUCUUCUCAAGAGCUUGGCCUUUGGAUAAGCUCAAUGCCUUCCUACAUCUCUUUCUCUGUCUCUGCCUCUGUGUGUGUGUGUGUGUGUGUGCGAGAGUGUGUGGCUGGGGAUGCAUCCAAGCCCUCACUUGUGCUAGGCAAGUGCUCUACCACUGAGCUGCAUCCCUAGGCCUCCCUCCUACCAACUCUCAUCUCGCCAGGAUUGGCUUUUUUGUUGAUAUUUGGUACUGGGGAUUGAACCUAGGGCUGCUUUACCACUGAGCAACAUCCCCAGCCCUUUUUACAUUUUCGUUGUUGUUGUUUUGAGACAGGAUCUCACUAUGUUGCUGAGCCUGGCCUUGAAUUUGUGAUCCUCCUGUCUCAGCCUCUCAAACUACUGGGAUAAAUGUGUACCACUGUACCUCACUAAAUAUUGGUCAUUGAGCAGUCAGAAGCCUGGACUCAUUGCCCUUACUGAUUUGAGAAGAUACAUAGAAAAAAUUAAAUUGUUUGUGAUACUUGGGGGUGGGGGUAGCGCAGUAGUCAGGAGCUUGCCUAGCAUGCAUAAAGCCC
rnacentral:lncRNA from 1 species